UACAGAGGGUGCAAGCGUUGUUCGGAAUUACUGGGCGUAAAGCGUGCGCAGGCGGUUUUGUAAGUUCUGUCGUGAAAGCCCCGGGCUCAACCUGGGAACUUGGCGAUGGAGACUGCAAGGCUUGAAUCUGGCAGAGGGGGGGUAGAAAUUUCCAACGUGUAGCAGGUGAAAUGCGUAGAGAUGUGGAGGAACACCGAUGGCGAAGGCAGCCCCCUGGGUCAAGAUUGACGCUCAUGCACGAAAGCGUGGGGAGCAAACAGG
rnacentral:rRNA from 1 species